rnacentral:rRNA from 1 species
UACGGAGGGUGCAAGCGUUAUCCGGAUUUAUUGGGUUUAAAGGGUCCGUAGGCGGACUGGUAAGUCAGUGGUGAAAUCCUGUCGCUCAACGAUAGAACUGCCAUUGAAACUGCUAGUCUUGAAUUAAUUUGAAGUUGGCGGAAUGAGUAGUGUAGCGGUGAAAUGCAUAGAUAUUACUCAGAACACCGAUUGCGAAGGCAGCUGACUAAGAUUAUAUUGACGCUGAUGGACGAAAGCGUAGGUAGCGAACAGG